rnacentral:rRNA from 1 species
GAUGAACGCUAGCUACAGGCUUAACACAUGCAAGUCGAGGGGAAACGACAUCGAAAGCUUGCUUUUGAUGGGCGUCGACCGGCGCACGGGUGAGUAACGCGUAUCCAACCUGCCCAUCACUUGGGAAUAACCUUGCGAAAGUAAGACUAAUACCCAAUGACAUCCCACGAAGACAUCUGAAUGGGAUUAAAGAUUUAUCGGUGAUGGAUGGGGAUGCGUCUGAUUAGCUUGUUGGCGGGGUAACGGCCCACCAAGGCAACGAUCAGUAGGGGUUCUGAGAGGAAGGUCCCCACAUUGGAACUGAGACACGGUCCAAACUCCUACGGGAGGCAGCAGUGAGGAAUAUGGGUCAAUGGGCGAGAGCCUGAACCAGCCAAGUAGCGUGCAGGAUGACGGCCCUAUGGGUGGUAAACUGCUUUUAUAAGGGAAUAAAGUGGGUCUCGGGAGACUUUUUGCAUGUACCUUAUGAAUAAGGACCGGCUAAUUCCGUG